rnacentral:rRNA from 1 species
GAUGAACGCUGGCGGCGUGCCUAAUACAUGCAAGUCGAGCGAACAGACGAGGAGCUUGCUCCUCUGACGUUAGCGGCGGACGGGUGAGUAACACGUGGAUAACCUACCUAUAAGACUGGGAUAACUUCGGGAAACCGGAGCUAAUACCGGAUAACAUGUUGAACCGCAUGGUUCAACAGUGAAAGACGGUCUUCUGUCACUUAUAGAUGGAUCCGCGCCGCAUUAGCUAGUUGGUAAGGUAACGGCUUACCAAGGCAACGAUGCGUAGCCGACCUGAGAGGGUGAUCGGCCACACUGGAACUGAGACACGGUCCAGACUCCUACGGGAGGCAGCAGUAGGGAAUCUUCCGCAAUGGGCGAAAGCCUGACGGAGCAACGCCGCGUGAGUGAAGAAGGUCUUCGGAUCGUAAAACUCUGUUAUUAGGGAAGAACAAAUGUGUAAGUAACUAUGCACGUCUUGACGGUACCUAAUCAGAAAGCCACGGCUAACUACGUG